AUUGUCAUGCCUUUAGAGAUGAAUGACAAGCAAUAAGUUAAGCUAUUUUAGAUCGUUGAUCUAAUAGAACAUUCGACACAUGGUUGGCGAACAUGUGUGCGUUUGUUUAAAUUAUGAAUCGGUACGAAAUGUGCCAAGGAAACGAAAAUAUUAUUCCUCCUUUAAAUGAGAUACAUUGUUAUUUUUUAUAAGGGCGGAGAUUUAUUCAAUAAUCAAAUGACUUCCAACAAUGGAUAUCUUGACUCUCGUAUCGAUGAAGAACGUAGCAAAAUGCGACACAUGGUGUGAAUUGCAGAAUUCCGCGAAUCAUCAAGUUUUUGAACGCAAGUUGCGCCUAAGGCCAAUUAUAGGUUUAGGGCAUGCUUGCUUGGGUGUCGUGUAUAAGUCAACUAAAUAUUUUAUCCAAGAUUUAUUGAUGGAUGGAGUUAUUUGGUUGUACGUGUUGUUCUCUCGUUCACUAAGCUUGUGUUCGGUUGGAUGAAAUAUUAGUAUCCUUGGCAUAAAAUGCCUUACAUGUUUUGGUCAACAUUGUAUGGUAUUAAUGUUGUCAAGUUAAAACUAAAGGCCAAACAGAAUGCCGAUCUUAUUAUCAUGAAAUGAGAGAAACCUUUUGACCUCAGGUCAAGCA
rnacentral:rRNA from 1 species